GUGGGGAAUCUUGCGCAAUGGGCGAAAGCCUGACGCAGCCAUGUCGCGUGAAUGAUGAAGGUCUUAGGAUUGUAAAAUUCUUUCACCGGGGACGAUAAUGACGGUACCUGCAGAAGAAGCCCCGGCUAACUACGUGCCAGCAGCCGCGGUAACACGUAGGGGGCAAGCGUUGUCCGGAUUUAUUGGGCGUAAAGAGCUCGUAGGUGGCUGAGUAAGUCGGAUGUCAAAUCCCCAGGCUCAACCUGGGAUCCCAUCCGAUACUGCUCUGGCUAGAGUCCGGUAGGGGAGCGUGGAAUUCCUGGUGUAGCGGUGAAAUGCGCAGAUAUCAGGAGGAACACCAGCGGCGAAGGCGGCGCUCUGGGCCGGUACUGACACUGAGGAGCGAAAGCGUGGGUAGCAAACAGGAUUAGAAACCCCGGUAGUCC
rnacentral:rRNA from 1 species